UUUAAGGUCUGACCUGCCCAAUGAUUGAUUUAAAUGGCCGCGGUAUUUUGACCGUGCAAAGGUAGCAUAAUAAUUAGUUUCUUAAUUGGAAGCUGGAAUGAAUGGUUGGACGAGAGAACUUCUGUCUCGAUUUAAUUUUAUUUUGAAUUUUAUUUUUGAGUUAAAAAGCUCAAAUGAUUUUAAAAGACGAGAAGACCCUAUAGAGUUUUAUAUUUUUAUAUUUAUUGUUUUUUAGUAUGAAUUUUUUGUGAAUUUUGGAAGUAUUUUGUUGGGGUGAUGGGAAAAUUAAAUUAACUUUUUCUUUCUUUUUUCAUUGAUUUAUGUUUUUUUUGAUCCAUUUUUUAUGAUUAUAAGAUUAAAUUACCUUAGGGAUAACAGCGUAAUUUUUUUUUAGAGUUCUUAUCGAAAGAAAAGUUUGCGACCUCGAUGUUGGAUUAAAAUUUAUGUUAGGUGUAGGAGCUUAAUUAUUGGGUCUGUUCGACCUUUAAAAUUUUACA
rnacentral:rRNA from 1 species